UACGGAGGGUGCAAGCGUUGUUCGGAAUCACUGGGCGUAAAGCGCGUGUAGGCGGCUAUCUAAGUCUGAUGUGAAAGCCCUGGGCUCAACUCAGGAAGUGCAUUGGAUACUGGAUAGCUGGAGUACCGGAGAGGAGGGUGGAAUUCCUGGUGUAGCGGUGAAAUGCGUAGAUAUCGUAAGGAAGACCAGUGGCGAAGGCGGGUCUCUGGACAGUUCCUGACGCUGAGGCACGAAGGUCAGGGGAGCAAACGGG
rnacentral:rRNA from 1 species